rnacentral:rRNA from 1 species
GGCUCAGGAUGAACGCUGGCGGCGUGCUUAACACAUGCAAGUCGAGCGAAGCGCUCACGCGGAAUUUUUCGGAAGGAAGCGGGAGCGACUUAGCGGCGGACGGGUGAGUAACGCGUGGGUAACCUGCCCCAUACCGGGGGAUAACGGUUAGAAAUGACCGCUAAUACCGCUUAAGCGCGCGAGGCCGCGUGGCCACGCGUGAAAAACUCCGGUGGUAUGGGAUGGGCCCGCGUCUGAUUAGCUAGUUGGCGGGGUAAAGGCCCACCAAGGCGACGAUCAGUAGCCGACCUGAGAGGGUGGCCGGCCACAUUGGGACUGAGACACGGCCCAAACUCCUACGGGAGGCAGCAGUGGGGAAUAUUGCGCAAUGGGGGAAACCCUGACGCAGCAACGCCGCGUGAGUGAGGAAGUAUCUCGGUAUGUAAAGCUCUAUCAGCGGGGAAGAAAGAGGACGGUACCCGACUAAGAAGCCCCGGCUAACUACGUGCCAGCAGCCGCGGUAAUAC